rnacentral:rRNA from 1 species
AUUGAACGCUGGCGGCAUGCUUUACACAUGCAAGUCGAACGGUAACAGGCCGCAAGGUGCUGACGAGUGGCGAACGGGUGAGUAAUGCAUCGGAACGUGCCCAGUCGUGGGGGAUAACGCAGCGAAAGCUGUGCUAAUACCGCAUACGAUCUAUGGAUGAAAGCGGGGGACCGUAAGGCCUCGCGCGAUUGGAGCGGCCGAUGUCAGAUUAGGUAGUUGGUGGGGUAAAGGCCUACCAAGCCGACGAUCUGUAGCUGGUCUGAGAGGACGACCAGCCACACUGGGACUGAGACACGGCCCAGACUCCUACGGGAGGCAGCAGUGGGGAAUUUUGGACAAUGGGCGCAAGCCUGAUCCAGCAAUGCCGCGUGCAGGAAGAAGGCCUUCGGGUUGUAAACUGCUUUUGUCAGGGAAGAAAUCCUCUAGGCUAAUACCUUGGGGGGAUGACGGUACCUGAAGAAUAAGCACCGGCUAACUACGUGCCAGCCGCCGCGGUAACAC